GAUGAACGCUAGCUACAGGCUUAACACACGCAAGUCGCGGGGCAGCAUGGGGGUUGCUUGCAAUCCCCGAUGGCGACCGGCGCACGGGUGAGUAACGCGUAUCCAACCUGCCCUUCACCACGGGAUAACCCGGCGAAAGUCGGACUAAUACCGUAUGUUGUCCAUUGACGGCAUCCGAUUUGGACGAAAGGUUUGGCGGUGAAGGAUGGGGAUGCGUCCGAUUAGCUGGACGGCGGGGUGACGGCCCACCGUGGCGACGAUCGGUAGGGGUUCUGAGAGGAAGGUCCCCCACACUGGAACUGAGACACGGUCCAGACUCCUACGGGAGGCAGCAGUGAGGAAUAUUGGUCAAUGGGCGUAAGCCUGAACCAGCCAAGUAGCGUGCAGGAUGACGGCCCUAUGGGUUGUAAACUGCUUUUAUGCGGGGAUAAAGUGGCCCACGUGUGGGUUUUUGCAGGUACCGCAUGAAUAAGGACCGGCUAAUUCCGUG
rnacentral:rRNA from 1 species